UACAGAGGGUGCGAGCGUUGUCCGGAAUCACUGGGCGUAAAGGGCGCGUAGGUGGCGACCCAAGUCGAUGGUGAAAGCUCGCCGCUCAACGGCGAGUCGGCCAUCGAUACUGGGUUGCUGGAGCACUGUAGAGGCAGAUGGAAUUCCGGGUGUAGCGGUGGAAUGCGUAGAGAGUCCGGAAGAACGACCGGUGGCGAAGGCGGUCUGCUGGGCAGUU
rnacentral:rRNA from 1 species